rnacentral:rRNA from 1 species
AAAUUGAAGAGUUUGAUCAUGGCUCAGAUUGAACGCUGGCGGCAGGCCUAACACAUGCAAGUCGAACGGUAACAGGAAACAGCUUGCUGUUUCGCUGA